rnacentral:lncRNA from 10 species
GUCUCACUGUGUCACCCAGUCGUGAUCUCAAGGGAUGCGCCCGCCUCUGCCUCCCAAGGUGCUGGGAUUACAGGCGGAAACUUAAGUCCCUGCUUCCACUCCAGUCUUUUGAUUCAACAAGCAACACUGCAAUGCUAUACAUCUAUGCUGUUAUUUCUGUUGGGUGUAAACUGAGAAAUUUGGAGCUAAAAUCUAUAUACAUUUUAAGUUUUGACGGAUAUUGCCAAAUAGCUUUAAAAAUCCACUCUUACCCACAAUUGUAGGAGACUGCUUCUCUUCCAUACCUUCGCCAAUGGUGCUUUGUAAUAAGGACCCAAUAAAGACAAGAGUGGUAUUGGGGAUCUAGGCAGAAAAUGUCAAACACCCAUACCUUAAACAUUUUGUCCCCUUUGAAUUCAUUCAGCAAAUAUUGACAAACAACUGUAAGAGCCAGACUUUGUUCAAAGUACUGUCAAUAUAACAAUAAAGAAAACAGACACGGGCCUUACCCUUAUUGAGUUAAUGUCUGUAUUCAAAACCUCAAUAUCCUGUCCAUA